rnacentral:rRNA from 1 species
CCUACGGGUGGCAGCAGUGAGGAAUAUUGGUCAAUGGGCGGGAGCCUGAACCAGCCAAGCCGCGUGAGGGAAGAAGGUACAGCGUAUCGUAAACCUCUUUUGUCAGGGAACAAAGGCGGGGACUAGUCCCCGGAUGAGGGUACCUGAAGAAAAAGCAUCGGCUAACUCCGUGCCAGCAGCCGCGGUAAUACGGAGGAUGCGAGCGUUAUCCGGAUUUAUUGGGUUUAAGGGGUGCGCAGGCGGCCUGUUAAGUCAGCGGUAAAAGCCCGGGGCUCAACCCCGGCGAGCCGUUGAAACUGGCGGGCUGGAGUGGUGGAGAGGUACGCGGAAUGCGCGGUGUAGCGGUGAAAUGCGUAGAUAUCACGAAGAACACCGAGUGCGAAGGCGGCUUACUAAACUGCCACUGACAUUGAUGCUCGAAAGUGUGGGUAUCAAACAGGAUUAGAUACCCUUGUAGUC